rnacentral:rRNA from 1 species
GUCGAGGGGCAGCAUGGUCUCAGCUUGCUAAGGCCGAUGGCGACCGGCGCACGGGUGAGUAACGCGUAUCCAACCUGCCUUACACUCUUGGACAGCCUUCUGAAAGGGAGAUUAAUACAAGAUGUUAUCAUGAGUAAGCAUUUUCGCAUGAUUAAAGGUUUACCGGUGUAAGAUGGGGAUGCGUUCCAUUAGAUAGUAGGCGGGGUAACGGCCCACCUAGUCUUCGAUGGAUAGGGGUUCUGAGAGGAAGGUCCCCCACAUUGGAACUGAGACACGGUCCAAACUCCUACGGGAGGCAGCAGUGAGGAAUAUUGGUCAAUGGACGAGAGUCUGAACCAGCCAAGUAGCGUGAAGGAUGAAGGUUCUAUGGAUUGUAAACUUCUUUUAUACGGGAAUAAACGGAUCCACGUGUGGAUUUUUGCAUGUACCGUAUGAAUAAGGAUCGGCUAACUCCGUGCCAGCAGCCGCGGUAAUACGGAGGAUCCGAGCGUUAUCCGGAUUUAUUGGGUUUAAAGGGAGCGUAGAUGGGUUGUUAAGUCAGUUGUGAAAGUUUGCGGCUCAACCGUAAAAUUGCAAUUGAUACUGGCAGUCUUGAGUACAGUUGAGGUAGGCGGAAUUCGUGGUGUAGCGGUGAAAUGCUUAGAUAUCACGAAGAACUCCGAUUGCGAAGGCAGCUUACUAACCUGUAACUGACAUUGAUGCUCGAAAGUGUGGGUAUCAAACAGGAUUAGAUACCCUGGUAGUCCACACGGUAAACGAUGAAUACUCGCUGUAGGCGAUAUACAGUCUGCGGCCAAGCGAAAGCAUUAAGUAUUCCACCUGGGGAGUACGCCGGCAACGGUGAAACUCAAAGGAA